rnacentral:rRNA from 1 species
AAUGGACGAAAGUCUGAUCCAGCUAUGCCGCGUGCAGGAUGGCGGCCUAUGGGUUGUAAACUGCUUUUAUACAGGAAGAAAAAUCCGACGUGUCGGAUCUUGACGGUACUGCAAGAAUAAGGAUCGGCUAACUCCGUGCCAGCAGCCGCGGUAAUACGGAGGAUCCAAGCGUUAUCCGGAAUCAUUGGGUUUAAAGGGUCCGCAGGCGGUUUUUUAAGUCAGAGGUGAAAUCCUACAGCUCAACUGUAGAAUUGCCUUUGAUACUGAAAGACUUGAGUUAUUGUGAAGUGGUUAGAAUGUGUGGUGUAGCGGUGAAAUGCAUAGAUAUCACACAGAAUACCAAUUGCGAAGGCAGAUCACUAACAAUUAACUGACGCUCAGGGACGAAAGCGUGGGUAGCGAACAGGAUU